AUUGAACGCUGGCGGCAUGCUUUACACAUGCAAGUCGAACGGCAGCGGGGGCUUCGGCCUGCCGGCGAGUGGCGAACGGGUGAGUAAUGCAUCGGAACGUGCCCAUGUCGUGGGGGAUAACGUAGCGAAAGCUACGCUAAUACCGCAUACGUCCUGAGGGAGAAAGCGGGGGAUCUUCGGACCUCGCGCGAUUGGAGCGGCCGAUGUCGGAUUAGCUAGUAGGUGAGGUAAAGGCCCACCUAGGCGACGAUCCGUAGCGGGCCUGAGAGGAUGAUCCGCCACACUGGGACUGAGACACGGCCCAGACUCCUACGGGAGGCAGCAGUGGGGAAUUUUGGACAAUGGGCGCAAGCCUGAUCCAGCCAUGCCGCGUGAGUGAAGAAGGCCUUCGGGUUGUAAAGCUCUUUCGGCCGGGAAGAAAUCGUGUUCUCUAACAUAGGACAUGGAUGACGGUACCGGACUAAGAAGCACCGGCUAACUACGUGCCAGCAGCCGCCGUAAAAC
rnacentral:rRNA from 1 species